UACGUAGGGGGCAAGCGUUGUCCGGAUUUAUUGGGCGUAAAGAGCGUGUAGGCGGCCAGGUAGGUCUGCUGUGAAAACUCGAGGCUCAACCUCCAGCUGUCGACGGAAACCGUGUGGCUAGAGUCCGGAAGAGGAGAGUGGAAUUCUCGGUGUAGCAGUGAAAUGCGUAGAUAUCGAGAGGAACACCAGUGGCGAAGGCGAGUCUCUGGACGACACCUGACACUGAGGCACGAAAGCUAGGGGAGCAAACAGG
rnacentral:rRNA from 1 species